GGCAUACUAUGCAGGCAGCACCCUGAGCUUGACAUAAAUGAGUCUAAUGAUGCACCUACUCCAAGCUUUCUAAGGACUGUCCCCUAGCACUCACAUGUCCACUUGUCUCCUUACCUUCUUACUAGCAGGCAGACGUUCCUGAUAUAUAGUCUGGGACAGAGUAAAGGUGUAUGUAGUGAGUGUAGUGUAUGUAGUGAGUGUAGAAGAAAGGGGACAUGCCCCAGUGUUAG